CUUUUGGUUCUUUUUAGUUCUUUUUAGGUCUGAGUACCCGACUUUCUUCUCGUAGGUUCCUGCUAUAGUUUUUAUCUUGUUCGUGCUGUAGAUGUAUCUUCCAUUUCUGCAGCAGCUCCUCACCUUCUGCAGGAGAGGUCAGUAUUAUAUUUCCCUCUUCUUUAAGAAUGAUAAGCUUAACUGGAUACCCCCAUCGAUAAGGUAUGUUGUUGCUUCUAAGGGAUUCUGUAAUAUCUUUGUAGGUCCGUCUACGUCUCAUAGUCUCUGCUGAUAAAUCUGAAAACAGAGAUAUUCCUCU